rnacentral:lncRNA from 8 species
GUUGUUUCAGGCUUCUAUUGUGAAAGGAGAGCAAAUAAGACCAGUCACAGUAACUGCCUCAGCUGAAAGCCUUUAGUUAUUGAUCGCGCACGGCUGUGAGCACGAGCUCCGUUCUCUUUCAUUUCUAAAGACAAAGGAAUUGUCCGGUUGGAAUAUUAUUGAAGAUUUAUGAUAAAAACAUCCUAAAGAUUGAUUCUAUACAUCGUUUGACAUGUUUCUACAAACUGUAAUGGAACUUUUUUGACUUUUCGUCUGGACUUAGUGCCCGCGCCUUGUGCAUUUGGAAUAGUGAACUAAACGGGCGAAGAAAAACAUAACGCGCCAAUGUAAACUGAGAUUUUUGGAUAUAAAUAUGAACUUUAUCGAACAAAAUAUACAUGUAUUGUGUAACAUGGAGUCCUAUGAUUGCCAUCUGAAGAAGAUCAUCAAAGGUUAGUGAUUAAUUGUAUCUCUAUUUCUGCUUUUUGUGACUCCUCUCUUUGGCUGGAAAAUGGCUGUAUGUUUUUUUGUGACUAGGCGCUGACCUAACAUAAUGGUAUGGUAUGCUUUCACCGUAAAGCCUUUUUGAAAUCAGACACUGUGGCUGGAUUAACAAGAAGUUUAUCUUUAAAAUGUUGUAUAAUACUUGUAUGUUUGAGGAAUUUUAAUUAUGAGAUUUCUGUUGUUUUGGAUUUGGCGCCCUGCAAUUGCACUGGCUGUUGUCGUAUCCCAGAGAGGUUAAAAAAAACAUUACACUGCAGUGAAAGGAAAGGAAACAUUUUUAAAUUCAAGCACUGUCUGUCUACUCCCGCUUCCCUCCAGGUGGGUGACAAGACAGACUGGGAUGUGUGUGUGGCCAGAGAGUCCAUCAACAGGAAGGGGAGUGUCGCGGUGAGGCCAGACCAAGGCUACUGGGCCAUGUGUCGUGGGAAAGGGGGAAACCUCAAUGCCUGUGCCGGGCCAUCCAUCCCCCAUCACCUGAGAGACAAGUCCAAGAAGGGUCAAGGUUGGCCUGUGAAAAACCACCUGACCAACUCCACUGAGACUUGUAUUACAAAUCUGCUAAAACAGGUCGGGAACCUGGACAAACUUGGCCGUACCUGCAGGAGGUUUGGGUCGUGGCCCAACGGUGGGUUUCAAGUGAUCGGGCAUACACCAUCCACCAUUCAGAUUCAGUGGGUUUGGAUCAAUUGA